rnacentral:rRNA from 1 species
GAUGAACGCUGGCGGCGUGCCUAAUACAUGCAAGUCGAGCGAACGGACGAGAAGCUUGCUUUUCUGAUGUUAGCGGCGGACGGGUGAGUAACACGUGGAUAACCUACCUAUAAGACUUGGAUAACUUCGGGAAACCGGAGCUAAUACCGGAUAAUAUUUUUAACCGCAUGGUUCAAAAGUUAAAUACGUUCUUGCUGUCACUUCUAGCUGUAUCCGCGCUGCAUUAGCUAGUUGGUAAGGUAACGGCUUACCAAGGCAACGAUGCAUAGCCGACCUGAGAGGGGGAUCGGCCACACUGGAGCGGAGACGCGGACAAGACGCCUAAGGGAGGCAGCAGUAGGGAAUGUGACGCAAUGGGCGAAAGCAUGACGGAGCAAGGCCGAGUGAGUGAUGAAGGUCUUCGGAGCGUAAAACUCUGUUAUGAGGGAAGAACAUAUGUGGAAGUAAAUGUGCACAUCGUGACGGUACCUAAUCAGAAAGCCACGGCUAACUACGUG